AUUGAACGCUGGCGGCAGGCCUAACACAUGCAAGUCGAACGAGCGGCGGACGGGUGAGUCAUGUCUGGGAAACUGCCUGAUGGAGGGGGAUAACUACUGGAAACGGUAGCUAAUACCGCAUACCAUCAGAUGUGCCCAUAUGGGAUUAGCUUGUUGGUGGGGUAACGGCUCACCAAGGCGACGAUCCCUAGCUGGUCUGAGAGGAUGACGAGCCACACUGGAACUGUGACACGGUCAAGACUCCUACGGGAGGCAGCAGUGGGGAAUAUUGCACAGUGGGCGCAAGCCUGAUUCAGGCAUGCCGCGUGUAUGAAGAAGGCCGUCGGGUUGUAAAGUACUUUCAGCGGGGAGGCGUUACCCGCAGAAGAAGCACCGGCUAACUCCGUGACAGCCGCCGCGGUAAUAC
rnacentral:rRNA from 1 species